ACCAGGAAGGUCACGCUUCCAAGCGGCCAUUUGGGACGCAGGUCCCGCAAGUUGUGCUCUCAGUAACUUGAGCAUUAGGUAGUACAGAUGUGUACAAGAGAGGAAGUCAGCAGGACCCUCCUGGCUUUGCUCCGAGAUCGUGAACAAACAAGCCACAACUGCCAGAAGAAUAUAAGUAAGUUUGUUAAACAAUGGGCAAGCUGUGGAAUGCGUACAAGCGUGUGUCCCUUCAGCAGGCUGCUAGCCAUCAUGAAGCAGUACAGCAGAAAGCUUGAGACCUGCUACUAUCCCUCUUCUGACAGAUAACGGGCUUCUCUACUUUUCAAGGCUUUCAGAGCCAUGACCAAAAGAAUUUCCCUGAGACAGUUUCUUCCUAAUUCAAACACAGAUUAGAAGACGAGAAUUCGAUUGUUUCCAAAGUCGACCACAACAAUCAUGCCAUCAGGGGUGACGGCUAUACCUGAAGGACGGUCCAUCUGACCAAAGCCGCUUCCCUGAGUGCCAAACUUGCAUAAAAAGCUACCAUUUGACUCAAAUAUCUGCACCCGGUGGUUCCUGGAAUCAGCCACGAUGAUGCGCCCCUCUUGAUCCACUGCCACUCCCUGCGGGCGCAGGAACUGGCCGUUCCCGGUGCCCUCCGAGCCCAGAAAGCGUGCUGACUGGCAAUCUGGAUGGAUGACCAGAAGGCGAUGGUUGUUGAAGUCUGUCACUACCAAGUGACCCUCGUGAUUGAAAGUCACACCUCUGGGGGAAUCAAAGUGCUUCCAGAGUGCCCCUUCAAAGCCAUACUUGUUAAGAAACACACCGUCAGGCCCAAACAGCUGAACACGAUGGUUCCUUGUGUCGGAGACCAGGAUCUUGCCCUCUGUGUUGACGGCCACAUCCCAUGGGUAAUUAAAUUGCCCGUUCUUUGUUCCCUUCUCCCCAAACUUCAGAAUGAACUGACCCUCAAAUGUGAAGAUCUGGAUGCGAUGAUUGUCCUUGUCAGCCACAACGAUCCUACGCGAGAUGUCACAGGCCACACCAGCAGGGCGAUCAAACUGGCCCGGCCGGGAGCCCAGCGUGCCAAACUUGUGAUGGAAGGUCCCGCAUGGUUUGAACACCUGGAUGCGGUUAUUACUGCGGUCAGCAACAAUGAUGUAGCCUUCUUUGUCUACACUAACCCCCCAGGGGCGGCAGAGUUUGCCGUCACUGUCUCCCUCACUGCCAAAGGACAGCCCCGGCAGCCCAAUGCCAAUGUAGCUGCGUCCAGAUUUCACCACAACUUUGAAGGGGCUGUUCUCAAUGUGUUGGUUGCACAUCAUUACAGAUACCAGGUGCUCUCCCUCUAGCUGUGGACGGUAGCUGAUCAGGUAGGUCCCAUUCUGCUGAUCACUGACGUCUGCCCCGAAAAGGUUUCCAUCCGGGCCCAUCACCACUGCAGAGAUCAUGUCGCCUCCUGAAAGGCGAGGCUCACCAUCAUGGUCAUAGCCUAUCACUGUGAAAGAGGCCACUUUGCCCUGCAGUGCACGCUUGAGGCCUUCCCCAGUGGCUUUGGUCAGAGGAGCAAAAGCCCCGCUGCUGACAAAGCCCAUUGAUUUAAUGGCCAUAUACAAUGCCUGGUCAGGGGGAGUGAACAUGAUCCUGUCAUCUUCCUGUGGCUGGAGAAGGCCUCUCACAUUCUUCAGCUCCUGCACCUGAGCCAGCAUGCGGUCCCGAGCCAAAAGAAUAUCCAUGGUACGACCCUCCUCCAGGACCUGCUGAACAGCACUAAUGGUGUUAUCCAGCUUAUUUAGGUUCUGACGUAACUUUUCAACUUGCAAGUAGAGUGACUUAGCCUUGACUUGGCGAAUCUUUUCCACCUUGGGGGGAGACAGGAGGGGAGAGAAAAAGCACACUUAGAUCAGGGAAGGCAACCUGUAACACAGGAACAUUUCCUAAUGUCGCUCUUCUACAUAAAAACUAGUUGUGCAGUUGUUGCAGCAUGUUGACACAAAACCAGAACAAGCCUCUAAAAGCUGUAACGUAGGGAAGCAGAAAUGGGGAGGAGUAAUUAUUUAUCCAAAUUCAGGAUUAUUAUUCUCUCCCAUCCUCCAGCCAAAAUCAUACAUUCUUACUCUGCAGAUCUGCUGCAUCAGAGUGCCAUCUGAAAGGAAGAGUCGCUUGCUUACUAAUAAUGGAUUUGCUUCCUCAAAUGCUAUUUCAUUUUCUAGUUGCAAGGUACUUGGAUGAUCUGUCAAAGGUACGUCUUAUUUAGGCUCCAGGGAGGACAGAGGUUACUGCAGGCUCUCAAGAAAAAGCAGAGGCUGAGGCUUCUCUAACCAGAAUUGAGACCAAUUUCAGAAGGUAGGCUGUCAUCACACAAAAGCUGAGACUAGCAGUCAGCAUCAGCUAAUGCAUAUGGGCUCUUGUCAUUCCUGUGCCUGCCAGAACUGUUUUCAUGUGACUGGAUAAUACCAGGCAUCUAUCUCCAGGGAUUUUUAGGGUCCAAUUAUUUUAAUAUUUUCUUGCAAAUACUGGCAGCCCUGCUGAGCUAGUGCUUUACAACACGAUGCUUCAAAUGACACAGAAGGUUCCUGCCAGUCCCUGCUCGGGGACUGAAGCUCAAGCAGAAAUGGUUUGUUUGUAACUUUCAUAUAAGCCUGUAUUUAUCUUUACAUGUGAAAAGUCACUUUACUCCAUCUGGCAAAAGACACCUGCCUUGUAAAGAUAAUGAAACAUGUAAUGGCUUUAUUGUUGCAACAAUACAUUUCCUUAUGUCUGAAUACUUGCUUGGCUGCAGAACAAUAUUAAAAUACAUUGCUAGUGAGGGACAACUCACUGUCUGAAGA